AAUUUAAUAUUUAUUUUUUUUAUUAGUUUGGUUUAAUUUAUUAGAAAUAACUUUUGUUUUAGUAUAUUUUAUUGAAAUAAUUAUUUUAUUUAUAGUUAAUAGUACUGUGAAGGAUUAUCUGGAGUUAUUUAAAAGUAGUUAUAAUUUGGUGUACCUUUUGUAUCAGGGUCGAUUAAGUUAUUAUAUGUAUAUAUAUUUCCCGAAAUUAGAAGAGCUAGGAUUAAAAUGUUAUUUAAUGUGUUAAAAUUAUUGAUUAUUUAAUUUUGGUAAUGAAAUGUUAUUCGUUUUUAAAUAUCUGGUUUUCUUGGAAUUAAAUUUAAUUUAGGAUCUUGGUAUUAUACAGGAGAAUUUUAUUUUUUGUAUCACUAAGUUUUAAUAUUCUCAGGGAUAAGCUUGGGAUUAAUUAUAUAAGUUGUAGAAUUAUAGGAGUUUUGUAGGCUUGAGAUCAGCCAUCAUUUAUUUCGUUAUAGAUUAUCUCCUUUUAUGAUUUAUUUAAUUUAACUUUAUUUGUUUACUUGAAUGAUUAAUUUAAUAUUUAAUUUAUUGUAAUAAUGAUUGAAUUAGUAUUUUAGGGAAUUAAAUUAUAGGAACUCGGCAAUUUUAAUGCUCGCCUGUUUAACAAAAACAUGUCCUUUUGUUAUUUAUUUAAGGUCUGACCUGCCCAAUGAGGAAUUGAAUGGCCGCAGUAUUUUAACUGUGCUAAGGUAGCAUAAUCAUUUGUCUUUUAAUUGAGGGCUGGAAUGAAGGGUUGGACGAAGUAUUAUCUUUCUUUAAUUUAAUUGUAGGAAUUUAAUUUUUGAGUUAAAAAGCUUAAAUUUAUUUAUUGGACGAGAAGACCCUAUAGAUCUUUAUAAUUUUAUAUUUUGGUAAUUUAGUGAUUUUUUUAUUUGAAGUAAAUGAAUUAUUUUGUUGGGGUGACUGUAGAAUUUGAAUAACUUCUAUUUAUUUAUUUCAUUUAUUGGUGUUUUUAUGAUCCACAAUUUGUGAUUAUAAGAUUAAGUUACCUUAGGGAUAACAGCGUAAUUCUUUCGGAGAGUUCAUAUUGAUGAAGGAGUUUGCGACCUCGAUGUUGGAUUAAAAUAAGUUAUGGAUGCAGUAGUCUAUAAACUAGGUCUGUUCGACCUUUAAAUUUUUACAUGAUCUGAGUUCAGACCGGCGUAAGCCAGGUCAGUUUCUAUCCUUAAUUAAGUUAUGCAUUUUAGUACGAAAGGACCAAAUGCGUGGAAUAUUUUUUUUGGGUUGAGUAAUAUU
rnacentral:rRNA from 1 species